UGGGAAUCCACAGAGGAAAUUAAGGCUCAGC
rnacentral:piRNA from 1 species